rnacentral:rRNA from 1 species
AGUGAACGCUGGCGGUAGGCCUAACACAUGCAAGUCGAACGGCAGCACAGUAAGAGCUUGCUCUUACGGGUGGCGAGUGGCGGACGGGUGAGGAAUACAUCGGAAUCUACUUUUUCGUGGGGGAUAACGUAGGGAAACUUACGCUAAUACCGCAUACGACCUACGGGUGAAAGCAGGGGAUCUUCGGACCUUGCGCGAUUGAAUGAGCCGAUGUCGGAUUAGCUAGUUGGCGGGGUAAAGGCCCACCAAGGCGACGAUCCGUAGCUGGUCUGAGAGGAUGAUCAGCCGCACUGGAACUGAGACACGGUCCAGACUCCUACGGGAGGCAGCAGUGGGGAAUAUUGGACAAUGGGCGCAAGCCUGAUCCAGCCAUACCGCGUGGGUGAAGAAGGCCUUCGGGUUGUAAAGCCCUUUUGUUGGGAAAGAAAAGCAGCAGGUUAAUACCCCGCUGUUCUGACGGUACCCAAAGAAUAAGUACCGGCUAACUUCGUG